GAUGAACGCUGGUGGCGUGCCUAAUACAUGCAAGUCGAGCGAACGGACGAGAAGCUUGCUUCUCUGAUGUUAGCGGCGGACGGGUGAGUAACACGUGGAUAACCUACCUAUAAGACUGGGAUAACUUCGGGAAACCGGAGCUAAUACCGGAUAAUAUUUUGAACCGCAUGGUUCAAAAGUUAAAGACGGUCUUGCUGUCACUUAUAGAUUGAUCCGCGCUGCAUUAGCUAGUUGGUAAGGUAACGGCUUACCAAGGCAACGAUGCAUAGCCGACCUGAGAGGGUGAUCGGCCACACUGGAACUGAGACACGGUCCAGACUCCGACGGGAGGCAGCAGUAGGGAAUCUUCCGCGAUGGGCGAAAGCCUGACGGAGCAACGCCGCGUGAGUGAUGAAGGUCUUCGGAUCGUAAAACUCUGUUAUUAGGGAAGAACAUAUGUGUAAGUAACUGUGCACAUCUUGACGGUACCUAAUCAGAAAGCCACGGCUAACUACGUG
rnacentral:rRNA from 1 species